rnacentral:lncRNA from 1 species
GGAACAAAGAACACAGGAGAUAAAAGUUCCCUUUAGGUGCAGCUCCCUGAGCUACAUCCAAGAAGAGUAAGGCAAAAUCCCAUUCCCUGCCACAAAUGCACCACUCAUCCUGAAGGACUGAAACCCGGAGACAAAACAAGAUAAGUCAAAAGACCCAGCACUUUUGAGUCCUCAACUGUAAGAGACCCCACUGUCUUUAAGAAUGGUCCAGAAUGUGUGUGUUCCCACAGACUAGCAAUUAUUGAUUCUAGCUCGUAUGACAGGUGUCUUGGCAAACAGGAAAUGGAUGACAGAGCCUUAUAACAACUGUAAUUUUAAGAGACAAAUCAAGAAGACAUGAGUAUUGAAUGAGGAACAGAUGGCUUUCAUCUUCCAU